rnacentral:rRNA from 1 species
CAGGUGCAUGCCUCUAGCACGAAGUCAGACAAGUGAACCCGCUGAAUU